AAAACUGCCUGGCAAGAUUAAAAGCUUGGAAUGGAGAAUUGGGCAUCAACUUUCAUCACCGAUUUAACAGUGUUUUUAAUGAGGUAUGAGACAGAGAAAGAGGGCAAAGAAACAUUUGAACCGGUAUAAAGUUGGGAAGGGCACCAGUACUUCCAGAGCCAGUGACUGUCACUGAAAGAAGUGUUUUACCACCCUAUUGACAGAACCAGUCCAUAUUGCUUUCUGUGUGCCGCAUGUACCCCUCACAGAGCCUGUGUUCUGAGCCUCAUACAGUGUUUGGACAAACAUGUACCAAUCAUAUUGCAGGAUUAAGGAUAGUGAGGAGGACAACUUUUAAGCAACCUAUUCAGAUGCAUUUAGAGAAACCUUACCCGAUGCUUGUUUAUUUAAAGGUCUAGAUGUUGAUCCACCUCACAAAGCCAAGGGUAAGGAAUCACAUGCUUCUGGAGCAGAUAUGAUUGAGGAGGAUUGCUUACAGAUUGACGUCCAACAAUACUACAUGAAAUCUAUGUUGUCAUCAUUUGAACAGUCUGACACUAGCAUCAAGAUCCAUCCCUUUACCAUUAUAUAAGUAACAGUACUAAAGGUUAAUCUUCAAAUAGUUGGAGUCUACAUUUUUUAUUGUGGUUAAUAUGCAUAUUUACCUGUGAAUUUUCCAUUUUUGGGCUAUAUAUGUUUUAUUUUUACAUAAUAUUUGUCUCAAAUAAACUGCUAUUAAUAUACCUGUAUUUUACUGAAAUUAAGUAACAAAGGGUUGCCUUUAUAAACAGUAUCACACAAGUUUGUAAUAGAUUGACUGUUAAUUUAAAAAAAAUACACAUUCUCAGGUCGAAUGUCUGAUUUCACAAUCUUCUUACAUGGGUCUGAUUGGCGAUAUUUCAAACUGAAUUUGAGGAAAAAGAUUAUUUGUAAUAUUUAGUGUGUAGUACCUUUAGACAUAAGUACCAUAAAAUGUGAACUUUCUGAG